CGCUUGUGUAAAUCACUCUUGACAUCACUCAGAGCAAUCCUGUGACUAACAGUAGAAAACAAAGUCGUAUCUGAAAAUGUAAAUAAAAAUGUGGAGAGAGUCUCCUACUCAAAAAGCAAGAAUUAUAUGUGAUUGAGUUUGAAUACCUCUAUUAAUCAACCAGAUACUUUGUAAAUAUUAUAAUUUGAUUAUUGCCAAUAUUUUAGAAGAUCCAUUUGAGUAAGGAAAAUGGCAAGCAUAAGUGACUUCUGCUGAUAACCAAGUGCAACAAAAAGGCAAUGGGUUUUUUUUUUUUAAUAAAAUAGAGCAUUAAUAUGAUUAUUUACAGAUGAAAAGUAUAGUUAGAAGAAAACUACGUUUGAUAUUAUUCCAGCUCAUUUUGUCAAUAAUAGGCAAAAAAUGAUGGAGACUUCUGUUGACACAAAUGGAGAAAAUUUAGCUACUACUCUUUGUGAUAAAGAACUGGAUACUGUUAUAGAUGUUCAAACUGUAGCUUGCACCAAUAAGAACCAUUUUGUUUGUGACUUCUGUGGUAGGAUAUUUUCUCAGAAACGAUAUUUAGUGAAACAUUCUCGCAGUCACUCAAAAGUAAAACUUUAUUCUUGUGAUAUAUGCAAUAAAGAAUUUUCUGAGAAAUUUAAUUUAAAUCGCCAUUAUAAAAUUCAUACAAAUGAAAAAUCUUAUUCUUGUGAUGUAUGUGGCUUGAAAUUUUCUCAGAAAUAUUAUUUAAGUAACCAUAUUCGUAUCCAUACGAAUGAAAAACCUUUUUCUUGUAAUCUGUGCAAUAAAACAUUUGCUCAUAAAUCUAAUUUAAACAAACAUUACCGUUCUCACACAAAUGAGAAACCUUUUUCUUGUGAGAUUUGCCAUAAAGAAUUUUCACACAAAGAUAUUUUAAAACUUCAUUAUGUAAUUCACACAAAUGUGAAGCCUUAUUGUUGUGACGUGUGCAGAAAAGAAUUUUCCCUAAAACGUUAUUUAAAAGACCAUUAUAGAAUUCAUACAAAUGAAAAACCUUAUUCUUGUGAUAAAUGUAAUAAGCAAUUUUCUCAAAAACGUUAUUUAAGAGACCAUUAUCGAACUCAUACAAAUGAAAAACCUUAUUCUUGUGUUGAAUGCAAUAAGGGAUUUUCUCAAAGAGGGGAUUUAAAUAAACAUUUACGUACACAUACAAAUGAAAAACCUUUUUCUUGUGAUGUAUGUGGUAAACAGUUUUCUCGGAAGGAUAGCUUGCAUCAUCAUCUUCGUACUCAUGAAAAAAAGAAAGCUUUUGUGUGUGAUAUAUAAGACAAGACUUUUUAUAAAAUUUAAUCUGAACUGACAGUAUUGCUUUCAUACAAAUGGAAAUUUACUAUGUUGCAUGCAGGGGAGAAAAAUUACAUUAGAUUUUAAAUAAGACAAUCAUAUUCAUAAGGAUGCGGUUUGAGAUCUGUGUUUUGUUAUUAAUAUAAAUUAUUCAAAUAUUACUUGAGUUCUUCGAUAUUUUUUUGGUUUUGUAUAUUAUCCAUUGUUAAAUGAUACAUUACAGAUGCCAUAUAGAUCAAAAUUUGAAUUUUUCCUAGCUGAAAUUUCCAAUCAAAGCUUUAAAAAGAAAGUAAGAAAUAAAAUGUAAGAAAGUGUUUCCAUUCUCUACACACUUACUCUAGUGAAUGGACAAAGUUAUAACCUUCUAAUCCAUCUACUCCAUGGAUCAUAUCCAUGAUUGUUAGCUGAGAUGCUGAAUUAAUGCCUCAUUUGAGUUGUACUUCUAAUUUUAAAAAAUGAGUGAUGGUAUUCACUUUACUUUAAUGUAAGCUAGCAUUCUUUAUAUAGUGAAAUGUUGCAAAUGUAACCUAUAUCAGAAUAUUCUUAGUAAAUAUUUUUUUUUAUUUAUUUAUUUUAUUGAUUAUGUUUGAGGAUUUGUACAAAGUGAAGCUGAUUUCAAUGAAUCCAUCUGGCAUUCAUUUUCUAUAAUGUGAAUAGAUCAUUUAGAAAAAAAAAAUAUUUAUAACUUGUGCUAAUAAGUACUUGUAAAAAGUGAAGGAUCAUAUCACACUCACAAAAUUUCCUCAACUAUAUUUCAUUUUUCUAAUUCAUUUAUAAAAAAAAUGAAUGAUUUUCUAUUUUACCAUUCUGUAAAUGCUUUUUCUUGAUAAGGUGUUAUGUAUUCAUGAUUUUAAUGCCAUGGAGCAAUCUUUGUUGUAUAUAAUAGAAGUGAAAUAGUGCUCACGAAUGGACAUGAUUCUAGAAAAAUAGACAAAGUGGCAAAAAAAUUAGCAACUUAUAUAUUCAUAUGUACUUUCUUAUUCUUAUAUUGAAAUAAAACUAGUCAAAGUAUGUAAAUAAGUCUUAUUUUUAUCUCAAUAAAAUGUGAUACAAUUUUCUGAAAAUUUCAAAUAAAUUAAUUAAUAUUGAUGAAAAAUUUCUGCAUGUAAAGAAUGUAACAUGUUUGUUAAAUUGCAAUAUUUCAUUUUCCCCCAUAUUAUUCUUGA